rnacentral:lncRNA from 1 species
UUGUUGAUUAUGGGGUCCGGUUCACUAGAGGGUGCAGUUGACAUUUCGCGUGGGACUGUGUGAUUGAUGUCUGGGGCGGCCGGCUGGGCCUCCGGGACCGGGGACCGGGUUUUGCCCGGGCCUCCCGGCCGGCGUGCUGCCGCCUGCCGUAAACUAAGACGAUCGGGCUCGGCUGGGAGCAACAAGCGACCUUUGUAAGGUUGACAUCAAAUAAGGUCUGCCGGGUGCUGCUGAUCAGACUGACCGCUCCAUCGCUGUGCUGACCACUCCAUGGCCCGGCCGGAGUGGCGCCGACUGCGGCGUGACGGCUUCGUUCAAGACUGGACUGGUGAGCAUGCCGGCGGUGGCUAAUCAGGGAUAGCGACUUUGGGGACGACCCGCUUCGCCGAUGGAACAUUUGCCGCGGUGUUGGACGAAAGUUUAACGUGCCGUUGGGCGUAGAUAUAAUGUGGUUUGUUCGACAGUAUGUGCGUGAAAGAAUGAAUGGACGUGCGGCCGGUCCUAACGAUAUUACAUUGGAGUGUGUCUUCAUAUGCUGGCUGUCCCGUCGUUGGGGUGUUUCUAUCUGCACUGUGCACUGUAGAUAUAAAGUAUGUGGAACAAAGUUUUAGAUGUCUGGCUUUGGUGUCAAUUUACAUUACUGACUCUGGCAUGUCAAUUAACAGCCGGUGGACUUUCAAUGUUAAAUUUUGCUGGUGUUCUUGUCUUGUCUCGGUGCAGCCUUUGAAUCACUCCAUCCUAAUUUUGGCAGUAACCAUGCAUGAAUGACGGGCAUUUGUAAGAAACCAUCAGAGGCCUCGUCGGCUGUGUUUGGUAGUUCAGUAAAGUGUAGUUAACUCACGGUUGCUAGCGAUCCUCGCACCUCUAGUCCCGCAACUUGCUAUCGUUCCAUGUGUUCAAGCUUAUUGACUUAUCCCUAUGGGGAAGGCGAGCUUGCAUGGCUCGGUGUCAUUUUUCAUUUGGUGUUUAAUAGCUGACACUACUGAAAGCUUUGCUAUAAUAAGACGGCGAAAUGAGGUUGACACGGCACAUUUAGACCCGGGCUUUCACAUAUAACAUGAUGAUUAAGUUUGCAGACAUCAGUAUGAUGAGUCGAACUUGCCCUCUCUGAGGUGAUUACCUACAUUUUUUUUUAAUGGAUUCUGGUUCAUACACUAAUGCUGUGCAGUUCUCCUUUCCAGAAAAAUAUCGAUUUCGAAGCACUCAGUGCAAGAAAAUAUGCUCAGUGGCGAUUGGAUCAUAGCUGUAGAGGUCGCUUUCCGGAAGACACGUAUGAUUUCUACACGGACAUCGUGUAAAUAUGGUCUCCUGGGUGAUAGGCGAAAUGUUCCUGAUACGGUGCAAAUUCUUCACAGGUGCCGGGAGUAGCGGCGGAGACUGCGGCCGUCGUCCGGUCCGCCCCUGGCCGGUACCGAGGCUGACGUGAACCAGACUUCCACACAGCCAGAGCACGGCGAUGGCUUAUCUUGCACGGUGGAUUCUGCUCGUCAGAAGAGGAUCUGUCGUUUAUGGCAUCCAGUGAUGGGUACACGUAAUAUUCAAGACCACUUAUACCUGAGGAUUUCUGCAGGCCGUUACGUGGCUGCAUACAAGCUCUCGACAUGUAUUCUGAAUCAGUGGUGGUUCUCAGCAUCGUGGUGAUCGUCUGUCGGCUGAAAAAUACUAGCCCCGGCCGCCGUUAUCCGGGAGAGCGUCUCUGCCAGUCGUCAUGGGACGGUCAGUCAUUUACCAUGACUGGCGAGUCGGCGACCGAAGUGAUACCAAAGGACAAAGCGCGGGCAAUGGCCCUUAUGUUUCUGUGGCGCCGGUUAUCUGAUUCACCCCAUUCGUGACGGCGUGGGGCGUCCCUGGUCAGAGGCCUGACCAGCCGGGGACGCUCCUCGCCGUGGUAACUGAUGUGGAGAGCGCUCGCGAAUCAUGACCUCGGGACUGAAUAAAGUUGGGUUUUAAUUCCUCU